AGUACGGCGGAACACGUGAAAUUCCGUCGGAAUCCGGGAGGACCAUCUCCCAAGGCUAAAUACUCCCUAGUGACCGAUAGUGAACCAGUACCGUGAGGGAAAGGUGAAAAGCACCCCGGAAGGGGAGGGAAACAGUUCCUGAAACCGUGUGCCUACAAGUAGUUAGAGCCCGUUAAUGGGUGAUAGCGUGCCUUUUGUAGAAUGAACCGGCGAGUUACGAU
rnacentral:rRNA from 1 species